UACGGAGGGUGCAAGCGUUGUUCGGAAUCACUGGGCGUAAAGGGCGUGUAGGCGGUCCGCUAAGUCUGAUGUGAAAGCCCGGGGCUCACCCCCGGAAGGGCAUUGGAAACUGAACAGCUAGAGUAUGGUAGGGGCAGAGGGAAUUCCUGGUGUAGCGGUGAAAUGCGUAGAGAUCAGGAAGAACAUCGGUGGCGAAGGCGCUCUGCUGGACCAUAACUGACACUCAGGGACGAAAGCUAGGGGAGCGAAUGGG
rnacentral:rRNA from 1 species